AUUGAACGCUGGCGGCAUGCCUAACACAUGCAAGUCGAGCGGAUGAAGGGAGCUUGCUCCUGGAUUCAGCGGCGGACGGGUGAGUAAUGCCUAUGAAUCUGCCUGGUAGUGGGGGAUAACGUCCGGAAACGGGCGCUAAUACCGCAUACGUCCUGAGGGAGAAAGUGGGGGAUCUUCGGACCUCACGCUAUCAGAUGAGCCUAGGUCGGAUUAGCUAGUUGGUGGGGUAAAGGCCUACCGAGGCGACGAUCCGUAACUGGUCUGAGAGGAUGAUCAGACACAUUGGAACUGAGACACGGUCCAGACUCCUACGGGAGGCAGCAGUGGGGAAUAUUGGACAAUGGGCGAGAGCCUGAUACAGCAAUGCCGCGUGUGUGAAGAAGGUCUUCGGAUUGUAAAGCAAUUUAAGUUGGGAGGAAGUGCAGUAAGUUAAUACCUUGCUGUUUUGACGGUACCAACAGAAUAAGCACCGGCUAACUUCGUG
rnacentral:rRNA from 1 species